UAGACCUUUAGCACAGUCUAGUUUGGUUUUCGGUCCUUAUGGCAAGGUCUGGUUUAUUACCUCAACUUCUCUGUUAGUCUGCAGAUGGCAUUCUGAGGUGAGACGGUAGAUGAUGCCAAGUUCACUGUAGAACUCUAUGAACCAAGAAUUGUUAAAUUGUCAUCCAUUGAUGAUAAUGAUGACUCGAGGUAAAAUGAAGUGAUAGAUAUUCAACUUGCAAAUGAAAUCAUGAACUUUGGCUUCAGUAAUCUAGGCCAAUGCUCUGCCUCAGCCUAUUUUAUGAAAUAAUUGAUAGUGAUGAGUAAGAACUUUCUC
rnacentral:lncRNA from 1 species